rnacentral:rRNA from 1 species
GACGAACGCUGGCGGCGUGCUUAACACAUGCAAGUCGAACGGAAAGGCCCUGCUUUUGUGGGGUGCUCGAGUGGCGAACGGGUGAGUAACACGUGAGUAACCUGCCCUUGACUUUGGGAUAACUUCAGGAAACUGGGGCUAAUACCGGAUAGGAGCUCCUGCUGCAUGGUGGGGGUUGGAAAGUUUCGGCGGUUGGGGAUGGACUCGCGGCUUAUCAGCUUGUUGGUGGGGUAGUGGCUUACCAAGGCUUUGACGGGUAGCCGGCCUGAGAGGGUGACCGGCCACAUUGGGACUGAGGUACGGCCCAGACUCCUACGGGAGGCAGCAGUGGGGAAUAUUGCACAAUGGGCGGAAGCCUGAUGCAGCAACGCCGCGUGCGGGAUGACGGCCUUCGGGUUGUAAACCGCUUUCGCCUGUGACGAAGCGUGAGUGACGGUAAUGGGUAAAGAGGCACCGGCUAACUACGUG